rnacentral:rRNA from 2 species
UUAUCGGAGAGUUUGAUCCUGGCUCAGGACGAACGCUGGCGGCGUGCCUAAUACAUGCAAGUCGAGCGGACAGAUGGGAGCUUGCUCCCUGAUGUUAGCGGCGGACGGGUGAGUAACACGUGGGUAA